rnacentral:lncRNA from 1 species
UUUUGAAUCAGGCCAGGGAAAAAUAAGAUCUACGCGUGCUAUUUCAUCUUUUUCUUCACAAAACAAGUUCAGAUUUCCAGAUUUUUGAAGAACAUCAAACAUCAACCAAAAUCAACAAGCAUAUAGUCAUUAGAACCGUCCUUCAUCAAGGAUCAAAGCUACGUAACUAUUUUCUCCUAAUUCCUAACACAGCCACGGGAUCGAGCAAAUCAAGUUAUGAACACAAACAUUCAAAUC